rnacentral:rRNA from 1 species
GACGAACGCUGGCGGCGUGCUUAACACAUGCAAGUCGAACGGUGAUGCUCCAGCUUGCUGGCGUGGAUCAGUGGCGAACGGGUGAGUAACACGUGAGCAACCUGCCCCAGACUCUGGAAUAAGCGCUGGAAACGGCGUCUAAUACUGGAUACGAAACUGGCCCGCAUGGGCAUGGUUUGGAAAGUUUUUCGGUUUGGGAUGGGCUCGCGGCCUAUCAGCUUGUUGGUGAGGUAAUGGCUCACCAAGGCGACGACGGGUAGCCGGCCUGAGAGGGCGACCGGCCACCCUGGGACUGAGACACGGCCCAGACUCCUCCGGGAGGCAGCAGUGGGGAAUAUUGCACAAUGGGCGAAAGCCUGAUGCAGCGACGCCGCGUGAGGGAUGACGGCCUUCGGGUUGUAAACCUCUUUCAGCAGGGAAGAAGCGAAAGUGACGGUACCUGCAGAAGAAGCACCGGCUAACUACGUG